ACGGGGCGCAGCAGGCGCGAAAACUUCACAAUGUGGGAAACCGCGAUGAGGGGAUUCCAAGUGCUUGCGUUUUGCGUAAGCUGUUCUUCUGCCUAAAAAGCAGGGGAAGUAAGGACUGGGUAAGACGGGUGCCAGCCGCCGCGGUAAUACCCGCAGCCCGAGUGGUGGUCGAUAUUAUUGAGCUUAAAGCGUCCGUAGCCUGUCUGGUAAAUUCUUGGGUAAAUCGUGCAGCUUAACUGUUCGAAUUCCGGGGAGACUGCCAGACUUGGGACCGGGAGAGGUUGGAGGUACUCCUGGGGUAGGGGUAAAAUCCCGUAAUCCUGGGAGGACCACCAGUGGCGAAGGCGUCCAACUGGAACGGAUCCGACGGUCAGGGACGAAGCCCUGGGUCGCGAACUGGAUUAGAUACCCAGGUAGUCCAGGGUGUAAACGCUGCAGACUUGGUGUCGGAGGUCCUACGAGGGCGUCCGGUGCCGGAGAGAAAUUGUUAAGUCUGCCGCUUGGGGAGUACGUCCGCAAGGAUGAAACUUAAAGGAAUUGGCGGG
rnacentral:rRNA from 1 species